CAAUAGCGUAUAUUAAAGUUGUUGCAGUUAAAAAGCUCGUAGUUGGAUUUCUGGUCGGAAGCUCCUGUCCUCUGAUGAGCGUACAAGUGCGUCCUACCAUCCUUCUGUUAACCUUUAAGGCUUUCGCGGCUUUCUAGGGGCUCAGAUAUUUUACCUUGAGAAAAUUAGAGUGUUUCAGGCAGGCUAGCGCCGGAGUACAUUAGCAUGGAAUAAUGGAAUAGGACUUUUGCCUCUUCUGUUGGUCAUGAGGCUCGAGUAAUGAUUAAUAGGGAUAGUUGGGGGCAUUAGUACUUAACUGUCAGAGGUGAAAUUCUCGGAUUUGUUAAAGACUAACUUAUGCGAAAGCAUUUGCCAAGGAUGUUUUCAUUA
rnacentral:rRNA from 1 species